UGGGGAAUUUUGGACAAUGGGCGAAGCCUGAUCCAGCAAUGCCGCGUGUGUGAAGAAGGCCUUCGGGUUGUAAAGCACUUUUGUCCGGAAAGAAAUCCUUGGCUCUAAUACAGUCGGGGGAUGACGGUACCGGAAGAAUAAGCACCGGCUAACUACGUGCCAGCAGCCGCGGUAAUACGUAGGGUGCAAGCGUUAAUCGGAAUUACUGGGCGUAAAGCGUGCGCAGGCGGUUUGCUAAGACCGAUGUGAAAUCCCCGGGCUCAACCUGGGAACUGCAUUGGUGACUGGCAGGCUAGAGUAUGGCAGAGGGGGGUAGAAUUCCACGUGUAGCAGUGAAAUGCGUAGAGAUGUGGAGGAAUACCGAUGGCGAAGGCAGCCCCCUGGGCCAAUACUGACGCUCAUGCACGAAAGCGUGGGGAGCAAACAGGAUUAGAUACCCUGGUAGUCCACGCCCUAAACGAUGUCAACUAGUUGUUGGGGAUUCAUUUCCUUAGUAACGUAGCUAACGCGUGAAGUUGACCGCCUGGGGAGUACGGUCGCAAGAUUAAAACUCAAAGGAAUUGACGGGGUC
rnacentral:rRNA from 1 species